GGAAAUUGCCAAUAUGUGAUGUAUUUACCUUAGGAAAACAGAUCAAGAAGCCUGGAGGCUGGCAUGGGUCACAUAGUCACACGAAGCUGAUCUAGAGUUCAAACCCAGGCCCGUCGGAUGAGGACUCUAGAGUAAGGCAACCCUGAAUUCUAAUUCCAGCCAUCACUUACCAGCUGUGUAUCCUGGGACCAGUUUCUUAACCUCUCUGAGCUUCAUUUCUUCAUCUAUAAAAUGGGGACAAUCCCUGAACCUUGUUCAUUAGGUGUGGAUUAGAGGAGAGGCCGCAUUAAGACACUUAGCACAAUGCCAGAUGCAGAAGGGGUGUCCAGUGAACGUUAGCUGUGCUUGUCGUCGUUGCAUCAGUAUUCCAAAGCCUGGGCUGCUAAGCAACUUCCCAGCCUGCUGUGGGGGAGGUGCCUUCUGGAGUCAAUGUGUGUUCCCUGGACAGAAAGGAAAAGAGAUUUUACAUGACCAGUUCCAGUGUUCCUGGUAAAUAGUCUUCAAACGCACGCACGGUGGGAGGAGAGCCAGGCACCGUGUCUUCUGGUUUCCAGCACUGCAGGCCCCUGCUCGGUCCUUCCUCUCUGGAGGUCUUGGGUCCUCAAGAUACUGAACAAACACACUGACUCUGAGAUGAUUCCUACACGUUAGCAUCUACUGGGUGCUACUACAUUCUACAGGGGACAGGCCCAGGAGGAAGCAGGCUUCCCACUGGAGAGUCGCUGGGGCAGCUCUGUGCUCACUCAAGGCAGCCUUCCUAGGAGCUCCUUCUGCCUCCUUUUCCCAUGAACCAGCCUGAAGAAGAGGGUAUUUCCGGGAAAUCCCAGCUGCCUUUGCUCUGGAGAGCCACUUCCAUCGGCGAGGGGUCCUGCGAGUCCCGCUGCCCUCAGGCCUCAUGUAUGCGCUUUCUGGUUUUGUGUCCAGAUGUUUCUGAUACAUGCGUGCAUGCCGCUGUGUGUGUGUUUCUGGGCCCAAGUGGAGCAGCGCUGGCAUGGGCCGGGGGUUGGCAGCAACAUCUCCAGGACACCUUUUACCCAUUACAUUCCUCGCCUGGGCGGGGCGCCUUCCUGCUGGCUUAAAAAGUGUCACCAGAAGCCCUGGAUGAAAAAUACAGCUUCUGAUUCAUGCGCACAGUCAGGAAGCAUCCCUUGCUCAGUACAGAAACUUGUCGGUCAACCUGGGGAAGGAAUCACCACCACGAUAUGUGCUUUGGCUUGCCAAAGCUCAGGAGCUUCCAGAGCCAAAACCCCAGCUGCCUGGAUUGUCUGGAGAAGGUGGGGGCUGGGGCGAGGGUGGGAGGAGGGGUGGGGAGAAAGCAGGGCUCUCGGAAUCAUCUGAUUCCUACCCCCCCAAUUCCGUCCUGUUUAAUUCCAAGCUAAACCCACCUCCAAAUAUCUAAUGGGCCAAUUGAUCCUAAAAACCGCGUUGAACACUACCCCUUCCAGCUCUGUGCCUGCUGGCAAGGUGAAGCAGAUGGCUUCUAUCGAUAAAUGUAUUUACUUGGAAGGGGCUGCUGGAAGUCAGGAAAUGCCAGCGAGACGAGUGUGCGUGGCUCUGGCCAGAACUGCCGUGACAAUCAUAAGCAGACACCCAGACAGUGUCAGGUUGAAAGAAAUCGCAGCUAAACCCCAGGAACCUGGGGCAUUUUCCAUCCCUCUCCCGUCUGGCCGCCAUGUCAGCCGUACACUUAGGAAGAGAUACCUCAUUUGGUUCAACAUUCUGUGGUAUUCAAAGGUUUGUAGGAGCCAUGGAGGGCCUGCUUUCUCAAAAGGGGUUCAUAAACCAAACAGGCCUGUCACUUGGACCUCAUCCUGAGGCCCUCACUAUCUAGACAGACCCAAACAGAAACUCCCACUGCCUUGGAGCCCAGCACAUAAAAUCCUCUUUAAUACACACACACCAUUUUUUUUUUUUUCCAGUGGAACGGCCUCAAGGUGUUAAAAGUACAUAAAGGUCUGAAAGCUGAAACCUUAGAUAAACAGUGUGCCGAAAUAUAUUUAGCAGAAAAUAUUGAAAGCCACAGGAAAAAUAUGUUCUCUUCCCGGGAUGUUAACAAAGGUUUAGGUUCAGGAAACCUUCAGGAAAUAGCGCGUUGGGUUGAGGAGGACUACUGCUCAAUGUAAAUAAAUCACUAAACCUCUUUGGCCUCCGUAA